rnacentral:rRNA from 1 species
UCUUUAUAAUAAAUUUAUAUUAUUAAAUUAUUUAAUUAAAAUUGAUUAUUUUAUAUUAAAUUAUUUUGUUGGGGUGACAUAAAAAUUUGAUUAACUUUUUAGAUUAACUUUCUUAAAUUAAAGAUUUUUAAAUUAUGAGUGAUCUAUUAUUAAUAAUUGAAAGAAUAAGA